rnacentral:rRNA from 1 species
AGUGAACGCUGUCGGUAGGCCUAACACAUGCAAGUCGAACGGCAGCACAGUAAGAGCUUGCUCUUACGGGUGGCGAGUGGCGGACGGGUGAGGAAUACAUCGGAAUCUACUUUUUCGUGGGGGAUAACGUAGGGAAACUUACGCUAAUACCGCAUACGACCUACGGGUGAAAGCAGGGGAUCUUCGGACCUUGCGCGAUUGAAUGAGCCGAUGUCGGAUUAGCUAGUUGGCGGGGUAAAGGCCCACCAAGGCGACGAUCCGUAGCUGGUCUGAGAGGAUGGUCAGCCACACUGGAACUGAGACACGGUCCAGACUCCUACGGGAGGCAGCAGUGGGGAAUAUUGGACAAUGGGCGCAAGCCUGAUCCAGCCAUACCGCGUGGGUGAAGAAGGCCUUCGGGUUGUAAAGCCCUUUUGUUGGGAAAGAAAAGCAGCAGGUUAAUACCCCGCUGUUCUGACGGUACCCAAAGAAUAAGCACCGGCUAACUUCGUG